rnacentral:rRNA from 1 species
UAAAGAAGGAGGAGUGAGAGGUGACGGCGGCGAGUGGAAGCUAAGAAGAGUCUUGGAAGGACGUUCUGAAACAAAGAACCGAAAAGAUGGCCGCGCCAAGAUUAGAGGAGACGCAGAUCUUAAGGUUGAGCAGACCUAGUUAUAAUCCGAAAGUCACGCUUCCAUUUAUAGAGGAGGUGUCCUUACGGCCUUCUACACGAACACACGAUCUCCUGAUGGAACCGACCCUUGACUGUCAGAUCGAAAACUUCUAUGACUUUAUGUUCUCGACGAGGUACCCGUAUGCGUCCUACCACGAUAAACACCGGCGAGUUGGUAGAUGGUAGAAACACCUCUACCAACUUUGUUAACUGGUAGACAUCCGCAACAGGUGUAGUAACUCAAGAGCUAGUGGUGGAGUUCAAUGUUGUAGUGACGGAAACACAUGCAUUCUUCGCCGGUUCUACCGUCGACUCUUCUUCCCUUUAUAGAACUACCUCUCUAUACUCUACCCUUCUGACGACCCCGUUCCCUCGAAACGAUUUCACAUGAUACCAGCAUUAGAGUUCUGAAGUGUCUCGCACCGGUAGUUCCACUAGCUGUUUCUCUUCUAGAAGUUCACACCCGAUACCUAGUUCAUUCCGCUCUCUAUAGACAUUACUUCAACCAUUUUGUAGGUUUGUAACAGGUUGACAUACUCCACUACCGGUGGUUUUGGUUCUAUAAAAAACACGAUCUCAUACACUUCCCCCCGCUCGACAAGUUGUUCCAAGUUGCUCCUUCCGACUUUCUUCUACAACGAGCGUUCAUGAAGGUUGUCGAGUUAUCACGCCAACUGAAGACGGUGUCGGCUCCGCAGAUAGUGGCGCUAAACUUCGGACUUUUAGAAGAAGAACUACUCUUGGCUUUAAAUUUCUAGAGACUGAAACCAAACUCACGUGAACGUCUUACGUUCUCCGUUCUACCCGACGAAGUGUGUUGAACACCAUGGGGACGUAUACAACGAGGCCUUGACUAAUCAUUUUUUCCUAUACUACCACGUUUUCGACUGUAGACCCGAACACCUCAGUAGAACAUACAUGACAACCGACCAAUAGAGGGAAAAGUCCUGUUUAAACUACCUGUACAUAAUCUUCUAAAUGUUUCGUCUUGAGUUUACCGGUUCGACCAAAAGAAGUCUACGGGCCUCCGAAGACUCUGCAUAAGAACUAGGCUUGGGACCAUGUGCCUAGAGGAAAAGUCUCUAGAACCUUUUAAGAACCAAGUCCUGACCGGAACUGAGCCCUGACUAAUCGAUAUUGUGUGGUUGCCUCCUGUAACAACGACAACUGUACCUAGGCUGAACACUAGGUAAGUCAUCGACAUGUUGGCUCUGUUAUGUUCUUCGUUGUCUCGAGUGAUUGAACUUACGAAAACUGUAGUAAAGAGAAAGAAGACCCAAACUAGAGAGACCGUACAAACUCCUAUUCAGGUUCUUUCUCAGUUUUAAGUGUAGAUGGUUGUGUCGACGUUGUUAGUAGUGUUUCGAACUUCUAUAACGUUUCGCGAACGCCGAUUCUGAGUACUUCUCUCUACCACCCAACAACUUCUACGUCUCGAACGUUGGCCCUUCCUUUCCGUAUUACAGGUAUCUAUGGCUCUAUAAAGUCUAACGUGGCUUAAAAGUAGACCACCUUUAGUCCUUCUGGUCACCACUAUGAGAGCUCAUAGUCGUCCAAUUUGUACUAUACUCUGGCCGAAACUUUCUGUAAUAAACCCGAACCGUUCCACUCGUCGGGAUCAUUAUCAUACUGAUGAUUCAUUCGCAUCUUUAACGUUCUUACACAUUAUAAAUGUACAACCUUAGUUAUUACACGAACAGAUUAAAAACAUCCAUCAAAUUACACAAAUGACAGUACAAAAGUAAUACUUUACGAUGAAGACAUAACUGG